UCAGGGGCUCGGGUUUCACUCCAUCCCUGUGACAUACCACUUGUUGCCUCGGCGGAUCAGCCCGCUCCCGGUAAAACGGGACGGCCCGCCAGAGGACCCCUAAACUCUGUUUCUAUAUGUAACUUCUGAGUAAAACCAUAAAUAAAUCAAAACUUUCAACAACGGAUCUCUUGGUUCUGGCAUCGAUGAAGAACGCAGCAAAAUGCGAUAAGUAAUGUGAAUUGCAGAAUUCAGUGAAUCAUCGAAUCUUUGAACGCACAUUGCGCCCGCCAGUAUUCUGGCGGGCAUGCCUGUUCGAGCGUCAUUUCAACCCUCAAGCACAGCUUGGUGUUGGGACUCGCGUUAAUUCGCGUUCCCCAAAUUGAUUGGCGGUCACGUCGAGCUUCCAUAGCGUAGUAGUAAAACCCUCGUUACUGGUAAUCGUCGCGGCCACGCCGUUAAACCCCAACUUCUGAAUGUUGACCUCGGAUCAGGUAGGAAUACCCGCUGAACUUAAGCAUAUCAAUAACCGGAGGAA
rnacentral:rRNA from 1 species